rnacentral:tRNA from 2 species
UGGAUUGUAAUCAUUUGAUAUUUCUUUUACAAAGAAAAAAAGCUUUAUGCCAUUCUAA